rnacentral:lncRNA from 1 species
AAACCUUUACCAUUCACUUACCUCGGUGAAAUUCAUAAAACAAUAUACGAAAGCAAUAACAUCAUCAUCAUCAUGAAACUAUAUAUAUAAACUGUAUAACAUAAUACCUAUCAAGCCUUUCGUAAUUCAAUCGUUACACAAUAUAUUUUCCUCAUUUACCAGCCCACUAGUAUCCAUGGAGAUCCAUAGGGGUCCCGCUACCCGUUAACCCUUAACACUUGAAAUCAUAUUCCAGGGCCGUCCCCAUACCCC